rnacentral:snRNA from 1 species
GUGCUUGCUUCAGCAGCGUAUAUACUAAAACUGGAACGAUAUAGAGAAGAUUAGCAUGGCCUCUGUGAAAGACGACGUGCAAAUUCAAAAAUAGGAGGAUCAGGAC